AAACCUGCUCCUCCAAAGUGUCUGGGAAGCGGCGAGGUACCAAGGUGGCUGGAUUUCCAGACUGUUGAGUGUGCAGGCGGCGUGUCUCCAAGGUCAUCCAUCACCUGUGAGUUUCUGCUAAGUGAGAAAAGCUAGCACACCAUUCUCUCACCUUCUCCAUCCUGGAGCUGAAGCAGAGAAAAAUAAAUACCACUCCAUCUCAAGGCAGAGAAAAUACCACACUCCAUCCCAAGGCCCUGUGACACAUGCAAUUAGAUGCCUUUCCCCAGGCUCUUGGAUUUUCACUCGGAGUUGGCUGGAUGGAGCUGAGACUUCAUGGACAGAAUGUCUGGGGCUGGAGAAGUUGAAGCACAUACUCCAUGAUGACUGUGUCUUCAAUAGGAACCAUCUGACUGUGUGCCAGCAACCUGAGGGCUUUCUUCAUGAGGCUAAUUCUCUAGUCUGCCAAUCUCUCUCUCUCUCUCUCUCUCUCUCUCUCUCUCUCUCUCUCCCCCCCCCCCCCCUCCUUCCCCUCCUUUCUAUAUAAAUAAUCCAGUGUUGGCUUCUUCAUCUGGAGAAACAAUAGCUCUUUCACACUCUAUAUGUUAACAUGAGUAUGAUAUGAGAAUGAUAUUAUGUGAGAAGAAAAGUUGAUUCUGGAUUUGGUGCGGUUCUAGAUCAUUCUUAUGGUUUGAGUGUGAGUAUGGUUUGGUAGUGUGGAACGUUUAGGAGGUGGGGCCUAGAGGAAGUGAAUCUCUGAGAACUCCCAGCUUAUCUCCCUCGGCUCCCUGACUGCUAAGGCCCUGUAACUAGUCACUGGUCACUACCUCAGUUAUGGCUGUGAGCAGCUCCUGUCUCCAUGAUGAACUGUAUCCUCUGAACCAGGAGUCAGAAUAAAUCCUUCCUUGUU
ensembl:antisense C030017D09Rik RIKEN cDNA C030017D09 gene